rnacentral:rRNA from 1 species
GACGAACGCUGGCGGCGUGCUUAACACAUGCAAGUCGAACGGAAAGGCUCCAGCUUGCUGGAGUACUCGAGUGGCGAACGGGUGAGUAACACGUGGGUAAUCUGCCCUGCACUCUGGGAUAAGCCUGGGAAACUGGGUCUAAUACUGGAUAUGACCUUUCUCCUUAUGGGGUUUGGUGGAAAGUUUUUCGGUGUAGGAUGAGCCCGCGGCCUAUCAGCUUGUUGGUGGGGUGAUGGCCUACCAAGGCGACGACGGGUAGCCGGCCUGAGAGGGUGAUCGGCCACAUUGGGACUGAGAUACGGCCCAGACUCCUACGGGAGGCAGCAGUGGGGAAUAUUGCACAAUGGGCGGAAGCCUGAUGCAGCGACGCCGCGUGAGGGAUGACGGCCUUCGGGUUGUAAACCUCUUUCAGCAGGGACGAAGCGUAAGUGACGGUACCUGCAGAAGGAGCACCGGCUAACUAUGUG